rnacentral:rRNA from 1 species
ACGGAUUGAGGUGCCAAACGCGUAGGACGUUGAAGGGUGUAGGUAAGUCCGCACCCCGAGUCCGAAACGUGAUGGCGGUGCCUUAGAGCCACAAGUGAUUGAGCCAUGCCGCCUAGAAAAGCUUCUAAGCGUUGAUAUUUGAGUGACCGUACCGCAAACCGACACUGGUAGGUGGGUAGAAUAUACCAAGGGGAGCGAGAGAACCUUCGUUAAGGAAUUAGGCAAAUUUCCCCCGUACGUUCGCAAUAAGGGGGGCCUCUGGUGGUGAGCUUAAUCGCAAAGCUGCUGGAGGCCGCAGAGAAAUGGCUCUUCCAACUGUUUAACAAAAACACAGGUCUCUGCUAAGUCGAAAGACGAGGUAUAGGGGCUGACGCCUGCCCAGUGCUGGAAGGUUAAGGGGAGAGGUUAGGCGCAAGCCGAAGCUUUGAGCCGAAGCCCCAGUGAACGGCGGCCGUAACUAUAACGGUCCUAAGGUAGCGAAAUUCCUUGUCGGGUAAGUUCCGACCCGCACGAAUGGCGUAAUGAGAGGAGCACUGUCUCAACGAGGGACUCGGCGAACAUUGAAGGACGUGUGAAGAUACACGUGACCCGCAGCGGGACAAAAAGACCCCGUGAAGCUUUACUACAACUUGCCAUUGAGUUAGGGCUAAACCUGUGUAGUAUAGGUGGGAGGCUUAGAAGCUGGGACGCCAGUCUCGGUGGAGCCACCGUUGAAAUACCACCCUGGUUUAUUCUUGGCUCUAACCUGUCGCCGUUAUCCGGCAUGGGAACAGUGGCUGGUGGGUAGUUUGACUGGGGCGGUCGCCUCCGAAAGCGUAACAGAGGCGCCCAAAGGUUCCCUCAGGCUGAAUGGAAACCAGCCGUUGAGUGUAAAGGCACAAGGGAGCUUGACUGCAAGACCAACAAGUCGCGCAGGGACGAAAGUCGGGCUUAGUGAUCCCACGGUUCAGAGUGGAAUGGCCGUGGCUUACCGGAUAAAAGCUACUCCGGGGAUAACAGGGUAGUCUGGUCCAAGAGUUCAUAUCGACGACCAGGUUCGCCACCUCGAUGUCGGCUCAUCACAUCCUGGGGCUGGAUAAGGUCCCAAGGGUUGGGCUGUUCGCCCAUUAAAGUGGUACGUGAGCUGGGUUCAGACCGUCGUGAGACAGGUCGGUCUCUAUCCGCUGUGGGCGUAAGGGAUUUGAGAGAAGCUGCCCCUAGUACGAGAGGACCGGGGUGGACGGACCUCUAGUGUGCCAGUUGUUCUGCCAAGAGCAUUGCUGGGUAGCUACGUCCGGCAGAGAUAACCGCUGAAAGCAUCUAAGUGGGAAACUCGUCUCAAGAUUAGAUCCCUCAUCCGUAUGGAGUAAGACCGCUAGAAGACGACUAGUUUGAUAGGCGGCAGGUGUAAGCGCAGUAAUGUGUUCAGCUUAGCCGUACUAAUGGUCGAGGGCUUACGUUG